GUGCCAGCCGCCGCGGUAAGACAGAGGGCGCAAGCGUUGUUCGGAUUUACUGGGCGUAAAGGGCGUGUAGGCGGAUGUGUAAGUCGGGGGUGAAAGGCCAGGGCUCAACCCGGGAUGGUCUCCCGAAACUGCGCAUCUAGAGAAAGUCAGAGGCAGGUGGAAUUCCAGGUGUAGAGGUGAAAUUCGUAGAGAUCUGGAGGAACACCGGCGGCGAAGGCGGCCUGCUGGGGCUUUUCUGACGCUGAGGCGCGAAAGCGUGGGUAGCAAACAGGAUUAGAUACCCUGGUAGUCCACGCUGUAAACGAUGAGCACUAGAUGUGCGCGGUACGACCCCGCGCGUGUCGCAGCUAACGCAAUAGGUGCUCCGCCUGGGGACUACGGCCGCAAGUAAAACUUAAGGAAUUGACGG
rnacentral:rRNA from 1 species